UCAGUCACUUGUGACCAAAACACUCGCUGAGCAGCAGAGGGGGAAAGGCUCCUGGCGUCAGUGGGAAGCUGGGUUAUGUGGACUUUACGGCUCCUGCCAGCCAGGACCUUGGACUGUUCAUGCUGCCCAGGGUGCCACUCUCAGCACUCUCCUCUUCUGCUCUGCUCUCUCCAGAGGCAGCCCAGACACCCCUGCUUCAGUGACUUGGGGAACAAAUGACAUGAGGCCUCUCCCACCUGCAGAAGCCAGUGUCCACUCUGCACCCCUGGCCUUGGCAGGCUCUCCCCUCCAACACCCAGCUCGUGGCCCUUUCUUUGGAGAAAUGUCGUUGGGCUGCUGGAGCAGGCUUCCCUUCACUUGAAAAGAGCCAAAAUGCCAGGCACUUUCCCACCCCUCACUGCGGGAGGGCCCAACCACUGAUUGACACCUGCAGGGAGUCACACUCAAGAAAGUCCAACUCGCUUGCCUCAGGCCAGGAAGCAUAAGAUGUGUCCUCUUGUGUCCUCUGGUUGUGUCUCCUUGGACUUUCUUUCAGUGCCCUUAUGUCUGGCAACCGGCUUCCCGGGUAACAUCUUCAAGAGACCAUCUGGAUGUCCUUAGACUGGGACCAGGGCCGGAAAUCAAUCCACAGGGUCGCCACUGCCGCCUCCGCCCGCCAGCACUCCUGUGGACCAUCUGGGCCACCGUGGAGAAGGCUCCUGGCUGCUCCCACCAGGACACACAGGCAUCCUUCAUAUGGGGUCCAGCCGGGCCACUCGCCGGCCACAUGCCUGGGGCCAUGCCCUCCCGGUUCAACCACCUCGGCUCAGUGAGAAGCAGGUCAUUCCCACAGGAAACUUGCAUCAAACUAAAAGCAGAAAGCAGCAGUAAGGCCAAGUGCUGUUUAUAGUAUACACAGCACUUUCACAUGCGUGCAUCCAGUCGUGCCCCAUAGGCAGUCUGGGAGGUGGGCGUGACUACCACCGUCUUCGCUUACCAGCGAGGCACCUGGAGCUCAGAGAGAGCCUGCAGGCCGCCUCCCAUCUCAGCCAGUCAGAGGCGGUGGAGCAGGACUCCAAGCCAGACCUUCCGCCUCCGAUGCUGUGCUUUUUCUGAAAUAAACAGGCACGAAAAUAGAAGCAGGGGUGCAGGACAUUGGCAGAGGGAAGAUUUGUUUCCAAUUUGGUUUCAGGAGGCUGGAGCGAGACUUCUGUUUUCCAAAGCAAAGCAGAGACGGUCAGCAUUGGAAUAAGGAGCAUGAAAUCCCCCCUCAGAGGUUUCGUGUGUGCCGAGAUGAGGGCUGGCCCUCCCCACCACCAUCAUACGUUCUGGCCCUUUCCCUGGGCCAGAGGGGAGCCUACACUCUGCCAAGUUCCCCGGGCCCCCAAAGUGGCAGCAGAAUGCCCAAGGCAGGUCAUGGGGGUAUCAAGCUGUGUGCCAAUCACACAGCUCUAGACACCUUCAGAGCCCGUUGGAGCCAGCUGGGGCUUGUCAAUCCCACCCUCCUCCUCCAGGAAGCCCACCCCGUCUGCUGCCCCCUACAGGAUCUCUCUCCCCACGACUCGGCUCUCGGCAAAAUCAUUGCCAGUUUGUGCCCAGUGAAACACUACAUUAAACUUGGCACAUUGUAGC